rnacentral:lncRNA from 1 species
UAAGUUCCACUAAUUGUUAGUAGAACAUUAGGUGUUGAGAUUUGGCAAAUGAAUUGCAUGCAUUUUUGCAUGUAAUUAGGCUAUAAAUAGAGGUGUUUUCAAAUGUUGAAGAACUUUUGCCUCUUUUAUCAUUUUCAUCAUCUCAACAAAAGAAAAGAGAAAGCUUCCAAUCUCAUUUUAUCUCCAUUACUUUCUACACCAAAAUUGGGUCCACAACCGGUUAUUUGUCUAGAGCUAGCAGUUGAGUACUAGUGGGUCUCGGUUAGAAUUGGUAAGAAUAUCAAACCUUUUGAAAGCUUCAAAGGUAAUAUUUCUUAAAACCUAAUUUGAUUAGUUUAUGGUUACAUGUUAAUUGUGGCAAUUAGGGUAGAAAUUCGAUUCUUUUUCCGCUGUGCAUGACUUAGUUCUAUCAGGUGAAUGCUUAUGAACGCGAAGGGAAGUCUUUUUCGGCGAUGAACGCAGAUGAAUGCACAGAUGAACGUGAAGGGAAGGUUAGGUGAACGACGCUUUUGAUUUCGGGUGGAGAGAGACAAAGUCGCGGCGAAUUAAGUUUAAUUAAGAAAAGGGGAAGUGAUCAAAUUGAAACGUUGUGUUUUGUAAAAGAAUAUUAACACAAUAAUUUUUAGAAAUUUCUUGACGUUUUUAAAACGUCAAAAACAAAUUAAAAUUUC